AGAAAAGGCAGGCAAGCAAGCACGCCUAAACAACGGAUUCUUUACUUGGAACGAGCCAUCUGUUCAAGUAACAAUUGAAAUAAGGCCUGGAAGAUCCUACCAUCAAAAAUGGAGCCACCUAAGAUCAGAAGAAGAUUUUGUCCAUUUUAAAAACACAUGAAAAAAGUGUUCCAGCCUAUUGAAACUGUUUAGCUUAGUGGUGGCUGAAGGUGUAAGAGGCAUUAAGGGGCCUAUUUAUUAAACCUCAGUUUUUCUAGUCAAGUUUUUAAAGAGGAAAAAAUUUAAU